rnacentral:lncRNA from 1 species
UCAAAAGUACUGCUUCCCUUCUCAUCCAUCUCUUCUGGAAUUGGCAAAUGCCCUCAGGGGUCAAGCAACCACCAAUAACGGGUUUACUUUUCUGGGAGCUGAACUUCUGAUGUGUGGAUGGGAGGGGAGAUGGCAUAUGGCCUGGUGAAAUAGGAAUUCUUCAUUGUUUUUUCUAGCAUUCAUUUGGUUACUUCCAGUGUUUUAAAAUAAAAUAUUUGUCACAAACAAAUGAAAAAACAUUCCAU